rnacentral:rRNA from 1 species
CUGCCGCGUGCAGGAUGACGGUCCUAUGGAUUGUAAACUGCUUUUGUACAGGAAGAAACAGUUCUACGUGUAGAACCUUGACGGUACUGUAAGAAUAAGGAUCGGCUAACUCCGUGCCAGCAGCCGCGGUAAUACGGAGGAUCCAAGCGUUAUCCGGAAUCAUUGGGUUUAAAGGGUCCGUAGGCGGUCAGAUAAGUCAGUGGUGAAAGCCCAUCGCUCAACGGUGGAACGGCCAUUGAUACUGUCUGACUUGAAUUAUUAGGAAGUAACUAGAAUAUGUAGUGUAGCGGUGAAAUGCUUAGAGAUUACAUGGAAUACCAAUUGCGAAGGCAGGUUACUACUAAUGGAUUGACGCUGAUGGACGAAAGCGUGGGUAGCGAACAGGAUUAGAUACCCUGGUAGUCCACGCCGUAAACGAUGGAUACUAGCUGUUGGAAGCAAUUUCAGUGGCUAAGCGAAAGUGAUAAGUAUCCCACCUGGGGAGUACGUUCGCAAGAAUGAAAC